GAUGAACGCUAGCGGCAGGCCUAAUACAUGCAAGUCGAACGGUGUCUUCGGACAUAGUGGCGCACGGGUGCGUAACACGUAUGCAACCUACCUUACAUUGGGGGAUAGCCUUUCGAAAGGGAGAUUAAUACCGCAUAAGACAGUAGCUGGGCAUCCAGCAGCUGUUAAAGAUUUAUCGAUGUAAGCUGGGCAUGCGUCCAAUUAGCUAGUUGGUGAGGUAACGGCUCACCAAGGCAAUGAUUGGUAGGGGAACUGAGAGGUCAAUCCCCCACACUGGCACUGAGAUACGGGCCAGACUCCUACGGGAGGCAGCAGUAGGGAAUAUUGAGCAAUGGACGCAAGUCUGACCCAGCCAUGCCGCGUGCAGGAUGAAGGCGUUAUGCGUUGUAAACUGCUUUUAUACAGGAAGAAACGACUCUUGCGAGAGGCGUUAACGGUACUGUAUGAAUAAGCACCGGCUAACUCCGUGCCAGCCGCCGCGGUAACAC
rnacentral:rRNA from 1 species